GUGGGGAAUUUUGGACAAUGGGGGCAACCCUGAUCCAGCCAUUCCGCGUGAGUGAAGAAGGCCUUCGGGUUGUAAAGCUCUUUCGGCAGGAACGAAACGGUGAGCUCUAACAUAGCUCGCUAAUGACGGUACCUGAAGAAGAAGCACCGGCUAACUACGUGCCAGCAGCCGCGGUAAUACGUAGGGUGCGAGCGUUAAUCGGAAUUACUGGGCGUAAAGCGUGCGCAGGCGGUUGUGUAAGACAGGUGUGAAAUCCCCGGGCUUAACCUGGGAACUGCGCUUGUGACUGCACGGCUAGAGUAUGGCAGAGGGGGGUGGAAUUCCACGUGUAGCAGUGAAAUGCGUAGAGAUGUGGAGGAACACCGAUGGCGAAGGCAGCCCCCUGGGCCAAUACUGACGCUCAUGCACGAAAGCGUGGGGAGCAAACAGGAUUAGAAACCCUGGUAGUCC
rnacentral:rRNA from 1 species